CAUAUCAAUAAGCGGAGGAAAAGAAACCAACAGGGAUUGCCUCAGUAACGGCGAGUGAAGCGGCAAAAGCUCAAAUUUGAAACCCUCGGGAUUGUAAUUUGAAGAUUUGGCAUUGGAGAAAGCUAACCCAAGUUACUUGGAAUAGUACGUCAUAGAGGGUGACAACCCCGUCUGGCUAACCGUUCUCCAUGUAUUGCCUUAUCAAAGAGUCGAGUUGUUUGGGAAUGCAGCUCAAAGUGGGUGGUAAACUCCAUCUAAAGCUAAAUACUGGUGAGAGACCGAUAGCGAACAAGUACUGUGAAGGAAAGGUGAAAAGAACUUUGAAAAGAGAGUGAAAUAGUAUGUGAAAUUGUUGAUAGGGAAGGAAAUGAGCGGAGAGUGGUUGAGGUUUCAACUAUCCUUUGGGAUUGUGUAUUGCCAACACCGAGUCAUUGUCAGCGAGACGGGAGUUAUAAAUGGGUUGUUUGUUAAACUUCUCCCCUACCUCCCCCACUGCCGUCAACGACAUAAUCCGCCCAUUUCACCCGUCUUGAAACACGGACCAAGGAGUCUAAUGGAUAUGUGAGUGUUAGGAUACCAAAUCCCAGCGCGCAAUGAAAGUGAAUGAUUCGUUCAGAAUCGACCGAACUUGAUUUUUAUGACAGUUUUGAGUAAACACAUCCAUUGGGACCCGAAAGAUGGUGAACUAUGCCUGAAUAGGGUGAAGUCAGAGGAAACUCUGAUGGAGGCUCGUAGCGGUUCUGACGUGCAAAUCGAUCGUAGAAUUUGGGUAUAGGGGCGAAAGACUAAUCGAACCAUCUAGUAGCUGGUUCCUGC
rnacentral:rRNA from 1 species